rnacentral:rRNA from 1 species
GCAUAUCAAUAAGCGGAGGAAAAGAAACCAACAGGGAUUGCCUCAGUAGCGGCGAGUGAAGCGGCAAAAGCUCAAAUUUGAAAUCUGGCGUCUUUGGCGUCCGAGUUGUAAUUUGAAGAAGGUAUCUUUGGGCCCGGCUCUUGUCUAUGUUCCUUGGAACAGGACGUCACAGAGGGUGAGAAUCCCGUGCGAUGAGAUGACCCGGGUCUGUGUAAAGUUCCUUCGACGAGUCGAGUUGUUUGGGAAUGCAGCUCUAAGUGGGUGGUAAAUUCCAUCUAAAGCUAAAUAUUGGCGAGAGACCGAUAGCGAACAAGUACAGUGAUGGAAAGAUGAAAAGAACUUUGAAAAGAGAGUGAAAAAGUACGUGAAAUUGUUGAAAGGGAAGGGCUUGAGAUCAGACUUGGUAUUUUGCAUGCUGCUCUCUCGGGGGCGGCCGCUGCGGUUUACCGGGCCAGCAUCGGUUUGGAGCGGCAGGAUAAUGGCGGAGGAAUGUGGCACGGCUUCUGCUGUGUGUUAUAGCCUCUGACGAUGCUGCCAGCCUAGACCGAGGACUGCGGUUUUUAACCUAGGAUGUUGGCAUAAUGAUCUUAAGUCGCCCGUCUUGAAACACGGACC